AAAUAAAGUUUUAUGGUGACUGAACAUGGAGGGGGGCGGCCGAGGGAUGUUUUGCCCGUUUUGUGGCAAACACAUCAGCAGCUUAACGCGGUUUUGCUUUACGUGUGGUCGGUGUUUGGAGUUUCUAAAGGACGCGGUCCAGACGGAAACACAGGGGACGUCUCGACAGCCGGACAGUGCUAGGCAAAAACUCUGUCCAUAGAACAACCAAGCCCAUCAUACAAACAGUUCAUGGAGUACAGAAGCAAAGUCAAAGAGCGGCAGUCUUUUAACUAUGGGCCAAAAGGAAGAUUUAAGCCUAAAGAAAGAAAACACGUCCAGAUAAAUGUAGGAUUGAUGGCGCCACAUGAAAAUGAUGGAACCGAUUUAAAACCUCUAAGAGGGAAAACACUCCCGUUAUUUACAGACCCGGAGGUAGCAGCACCUGAUCUACUGAAACAAGCUGUACAGAAAAUGAAAACAUUUAACAAGGACAUGCACGAAGGACCUUACAUCCUUUUGUAUCCAGACUGCUCAGAGGUGGUCCAUGUGCCUGGGUCAGAAAGGCCAUUCAAAUUGGCAGAAUAUAAA